CCUACGGGUGGCAGCAGUGAGGAAUAUUGGUCAAUGGGCGAGAGCCUGAACCAGCCAAGUCGCGUGAGGGAGUACUGCCCUAUGGGUUGUAAACCUCUUUUGUCGGGGAGCAAAAGCCGGACGUGUCCGGCUGUGAGAGUACCCGAAGAAAAAGCAUCGGCUAACUCCGUGCCAGCAGCCGCGGUAAUACGGAGGAUGCGAGCGUUAUCCGGAUUUAUUGGGUUUAAAGGGUGUGCAGGCGGAUUUUUAAGUCAGCGGUAAAAUCGUGGGGCUCAACCCCAUCCAGCCGUUGAAACUGGGGAUCUAGAGUGUGCGAGAGGUAUGCGGAAUGCGUGGUGUAGCGGUGAAAUGCAUAGAUAUCACGCAGAACCCCGAUUGCGAAGGCAGCAUACCGGUGCACAACUGACGCUCAGGCACGAAAGCGUGGGUAUCGAACAGGAUUAGAUACCCUUGUAGUC
rnacentral:rRNA from 1 species